GGGUGAGUAAUGUAUCGGAACGUACCUUUCAGUGGGGGAUAACGUAGCGAAAGUUACGCUAAUACCGCAUAUUCUGUGAGCAGGAAAGCAGGGGAUCGCAAGACCUUGCGCUGAUUGAGCGGCCGAUAUCAGAUUAGCUAGUUGGUGAGGUAAAGGCUCACCAAGGCGACGAUCUGUAGCGGGUCUGAGAGGAUGAUCCGCCACACUGGAACUGAGACACGGUCCAGACUCCUACGGGAGGCAGCAGUGGGGAAUUUUGGACAAUGGGGGCAACCCUGAUCCAGCCAUGCCGCGUGAGUGAAGAAGGCCUUCGGGUUGUAAAGCUCUUUCGGCCGGGGAGAAAUCGCAUGGGUUAAUACCCUGUGCGGAUGACGGUACCGGCAUAAGAAGCACCGGCUAACUACGUGCCAGCAGCCGCGGUAAUACGUAGGGUGCGAGCGUUAAUCGGAAUUACUGGGCGUAAAGCGUGCGCAGGCGGUUUUGUAAGACAGGCGUGAAAUCCCCGGGCUCAACCUGGGAACUGCGCUUGUGACUGCAAGGCUAGAGUAUGGCAGAGGGGGGUGGAAUUCCACGUGUAGCAGUGAAAUGCGUAGAGAUGUGGAGGAACACCAAUGGCGAAGGCAGCCCCCUGGGCCAAUACUGACGCUCAUGCACGAAAGCGUGGGUAGCAAACAGGAUUAGAUACCCUGGUAGUCCACGCCCUAAACGAUGUCAACUAGGUGUUGGGUGGGUAAAACCAUUUAGUACCGGAGCUAACGCGUGAAGUUGACCGCCUGGGGAGUACGGCCGCAAGGUUAAAACUCAAAGGAAUUGACGGGGACCCGCACAAGCGGUGGAUGAUGUGGAUUAAUUCGAUGCAACGCGAAAAACCUUACCUACCCUUGACAUGUCCAGGAGCCUGAAGAGAUUUGGGUGUGCCCGAAAGGGAACUGGAACACAGGUGCUGCAUGGCUGUCGUCAGCUCGUGUCGUGAGAUGUUGGGUUAAGUCCCGCAACGAGCGCAACCCUUGUCGUUAAUUGCCAUCAUUUAGUUGGGCACUUUAACGAGACUGCCGGUGACAAACCGGAGGAAGGUGGGGAUGACGUCAAGUCCUCAUGGCCCUUAUGGGUAGGGCUUCACACGUCAUACAAUGGUCGGUACAAAGGGUUGCCAACCCGCGAGGGGGAGCCAAUCCCAGAAAGCCGAUCGUAGUCCGGAUUGCAGGCUGCAACUCGCCUGCAUGAAGUCGGAAUCGCUAGUAAUCGUGGAUCAGCAUGUCACGGUGAAUACGUUCCCGGGUCUUGUACACACCGCCCGUCACACCAUGGGAGCGGGUUCCGCCAGAAGUAGGUAGCCUAACCGCAAGGGCGGCGCUUACCACGGCGGGGUUCGUGACUGGGGUGAAGUCGAACAAGGUA
rnacentral:rRNA from 1 species